rnacentral:rRNA from 1 species
UGCUUGCACUAAAUGAAACUAGAUACAAGCGAGCGGCGGACGGGUGAGUAACACGUUGGGUAACCUGCCCAAGAGACUGGGAUAACACCUGGAAACAGAUGCUAAUACCGGAUAACAACACUAGACGCAUGUCUAGAGUUUGAAAGAUGGUUCUGCUAUCACUCUUGGAUGGACCUGCGGUGCAUUAGCUAGUUGGUAAGGUAACGGCUUACCAAGGCAAUGAUGCAUAGCCGAGUUGAGAGACUGAUCGGCCACAUUGGGACUGAGACACGGCCCAAACUCCUACGGGAGGCAGCAGUAGGGAAUCUUCCACAAUGGACGAAAGUCUGAUGGAGCAACGCCGCGUGAGUGAAGAAGGGUUUCGGCUCGUAAAGCUCUGUUGGUAGUGAAGAAAGAUAGAUGUAGUAACUGGCCCUUAUUUGACGGUAAUUACUUAGAAAGUCACGGCUAACUACGUGCCAGCAGCCGCGGUAAUACGUAGGUGGCAAGCGUUGUCCGGAUUUAUCGGGCGUAAAGCGAGUGCAGGCGGUUCAAUAAGUCUGAUGUGAAAGCCUUCGGCUCAACCGGAGAAUUGCAUCAGAAACUGUUGAACUUGAGUGCAGAAGAGGAGAGUGGAACUCCAUGUGUAGCGGUGGAAUGCGUAGAUAUAUGGAAGAACACCAGUGGCGAAGGCGGCUCUCUGGUCUGCAACUGACGCUGAGGCUCGAAAGCAUGGGUAGCGAACAGGAUUAGAUACCCUGGUAGUCCAUGCCG